rnacentral:rRNA from 1 species
AGAGUUUGAUCCUGGCUCAGGAUAAACGCUGGCGGCGUGCCUAACACAUGCAAGUCGAACGCGCAUGGCAGCAAUGCUGUGUGAGUGGCGGACGGGUGAGGAACACGUGGGAACCUACCCUGUGGUGAGGAAUACCGGCGAGAAAUCGCCGACAAAACCGCAUAGGUUUGUGAAAACAAACAAAGCUCAAGAAAUUGAGC